UACGAAGGGGGCUAGCGUUGCUCGGAAUCACUGGGCGUAAAGCGCACGUAGGCGGACUCUUAAGUCGGGGGUGAAAUCCUGGAGCUCAACUCCAGAACUGCCUUCGAUACUGAGAGUCUUGAGUCCGGGAGAGGUGAGUGGAACUGCGAGUGUAGAGGUGAAAUUCGUAGAUAUCGGAGGAACACCAGAGCGAAGGCGGCCACUGGAGACCGAUAC
rnacentral:rRNA from 1 species